GGCGGCGUCUGACCGGGAAGGCCGCCUGGCACUUCCAGCGGCUCCCCGAGCGGUUAAUUGGUCUUCUGGCUAAUAACUGGGCGGAUUUCUGUCAUCCCUCUGAAUGUAAUCUAUCUGGAAAAUACUUCCUAUCUGGCUCCCAAACCACAGCAAGACCCAGGUAGCCACAUGGCUUGGGUUUGGGUAGAAAACGUGGACCCAUCAAUGAGAGCUGGGGAGACCCAUCAUGACCCGGGGAGGCAGAAAACCACGGCUCUGGACUCAGG